GUUGAAGUCUCGGUAUGUUGCCCAGGCGAAGCUCAAACUUCUGGGCUCAAGUGAUCCUCCUGCCUCAGCCUCCCAAGUGGCUGAUACUAUAGGCUAGCUAAAAUUUAAAUGAAACAGUGUUUUGAUCGGUUCGAGACAAGGUCUUGCUCUGUUGCCCAGGGUGGAGAGCAGCGGUGCAAACAUGGCUUACUGCAGCCUCGACCUCCUGGACUCAAGCUAUCCUCCCACCUCAGACUCUGGAGUAGCAGGGACUACAGAAGUGGGCCACCACCACCACGCCCAUCUAGUGUGUGUGUGUGUGUGUGUGUGUGUGUGUGUGUGUGUGUGUGUGUAGACGGGGUCUCCCUAUGUUGCCCAGGCUGGUCUCAAAAUCCUGGGCUCAAGCAAUUCAUCUCAGCCCCCACAAAGUGCUGCUAUUGCAGUCGUAAGCCACGGCGCCCACCGAAGUUACAGCUUUCAGAAUUUGUUGAGCAGGUUUCCCGGUUUUCACUUGAAAAUGCCCCGCCACCCCGAAAAAUAUUUGUUGAACUAGUUGGCUUUUAAAACUAUACAAAUUCCUUUGUUAAAGUAAAAAUUAAAACAAAUAAAAACUUUUCUUUUUUUUUUUGAGACAGAGUCUCGUUCUGUGGCCCAGGCUAGAGUACAGUGGCAUGAUCUCAGCUCACUGCAACCUCUGCCUCCCAUGUUCAAGCGAUUAGCCUGCCUCAACAUCCCAAGUAGCUGGGACUACAGGCACGCACCACCACACCCAGCAAAUCUUUGUAUUUUUAUUAAAGACAGGGUUUCACCAUGUUGGUCAGGCUGGUCUCGAACUCCUGAGCUUGUGAUCCUCCCACCUCGGACUCCCAAAGUGCUGGGAUUACAGGCGUGAGCCACCGCGCUCAGCCCAAACUUUUUUUUUUUUUUUUUUUGAGCCGGAGUUUUGCUCUUGUCGCCGAGGUUGGGGUGAAAUGACACGGUCUUGGCUCACUGCAACCUCCGCCUCCCGGGUUCAAGCAAUUCUCCUGCCUCAGCCUCCCGAGUAGCUGGGAUUACAGGCACCUGCCACCAUGCCUGGCUAAUUUUUGUAUUUUUAGUAGAGUUGGGGUUUCACCUUGUUGGCCGGGCUGGUCUCAAACUCCAGACCUCAGGUGAUUCGCCCCCUCGGCCUCCCAAAGUGCUGGGAUUACAGGCGUGAGCCACCGCUCCUAGCGAAAAACAUUUUUUAGGCUGGGUGCGGUGGCUCACGCCUGUAAUCCCAGCACUUUGGGAGGUGGAGACGGGUGGAUCACGAGGUCAGGAGAUCGAGAUCAUCCUGGCUAACACGGUGAAACCCCGUCUCC
rnacentral:lncRNA from 10 species